CGGAUGGCGCCACCGGGCUGACCUGGAAGGCGCUGGCCGUCGACAUUGCCGGGGGCCGGUUGUGGCUGGCGCUGUGGGCACUAUGAUCCCAUGGCUGAGUUGACAGAAGAGAGAGAGCACAGCUGGAGUCGGCGGCCGUGACUCCUG